rnacentral:rRNA from 1 species
AUGCUGACAUGAGUAGCGAUAAAGAGGGUGAGAGACCCUCUCGCCGAAAGACCAAGGGUUCCUGCGUAAAGCUAAUCUGCGCAGGGUUAGUCGGCCCCUAAGGCGAGGCCGAAAGGCGUAGUCGAUGGGAAUCUGGUUAAUAUUCCAGAACCUCUCGGGAGAUGACGGAUGGUAGACGUAGUUUGACCUUAUUGGAUUGGUCGGGCUGCCACGCUGUCCCUGGAAAUAGCCCCGAGAUUAGACCGUACCCGAAACCGACACAGGUGGGCAGGUAGAGAAUACCAAGGCGCUUGAGAGAAGUAUCCUGAAGGAACUCGGCAAAUUACCUCCGUAACUUCGGGAGAAGGAGGCCCUGCCAGAAGGCAACUUUUGGCAGGGGGCACAAGCUGGGGGGUAGCGACUGUUUAGCAAAAACACAGGACUCUGCUAAGUCGGCUUUAAGACGACGUAUAGGGUCUGACGCCUGCCCGGUGC